CUCACAACUGCAUUCUCAGAAAUUCCGCGCUGUGUGAAGGGAACAGGACUGGACAACUAGUGUCACGUCAUACAGUGCGAGAGAGCCGCUCUUCUAAGGUGUUUUGUGUGUGGUUUCACUUUCAGUAACUUGCAGCGACAGAGAUAUGAGCUGUGCGUCAUAUUUAGGAGUUAAAUCCAGUCACUGUUCUUCACCGGAGUGGCUCCCGUCAGUUUUGUGUUUCUUUUCGGACGUGACACGCGAGUGCAGUGGAAAAAGUGGAGUGGAUUGCAGCCCAGGAUCAUAUUGCUCCUUGACAAAAAACUAAACUGGUUUAUGGACCGGAUGAAAUUCAUUGCAUGCUCUCUCUUGCAGAUUGCCAUCAGAUACAGAUGGCAAUUCUACUGGGCCUUCCUUACUUCAUGAAGGAGAACCAGGAAGAGGUAAGGUAAAACUUUUUUUUUUUUUCUUUAAUCCUAUAUGGUUUUGCAUCCUGGGACAUGCAGAAUCUAUUUGCACUUUAUUUACAUGCAAUUCAGUCACUAUCCUGUGUGUUUAGCAUCGCAGAGAAGCUUGGUUUGUAUUAAAUGCCAACAAAUGAGAAGCUUUAGGAACUCCCUGCAGUGUUCAACCAAAAUAAGAGUUUGCUGGUUUAAUGUUUGAAUAUAUAGAAAUUUAGAUGUCAUAAUUUUCUAGAAUGAUUAAUUCUUUUCAAAUAGAGCUAUUUAAGUAUUCUGGUAAAAAAAGAAGAAAAAAAAAAGAAAAACGAGCAGGACGUCAAUAAACGUCAAUAAAUAGCUUUUAAAUAAUGUCACAUUUAACUCAGAAAAGAUAUUCUAUGUCCAAAAAUUCAUUAGUCAGCAAGAAAAAUUAACUCUAGAGAAGAACAUUCACUAUAUUGUAUAGUUAUUGUAUUUUACUUUACCUGUUCUUCAGUAUUUAACCCUCUGGUCCUCUUCGUUCAGGAGUCACACUUGGCUCCUUUAUGGUCAAAAAUGACUGAAGUCUUGAAAUGUAACUUUUUUUUUUUUUUCAGAAAAAACAAUGUAAUAUAUUUUUGUUCAAUAAUAUUUUCUGAUUACUUUUUCAAAUUUUGAGGGUAUUUUAUGAUACUAUGCAAUAUUUAUAAAAAUUUUAUUAGCUAUUUUUCCCCAUUGAAAAUAAUACACAAUUUUUUUUCUAAUAUAUUUUUAAAUUAUUUUUCAAUUCAAGCAGUAUUCCAUGUUAAAAUGGAGACAAGGCAUUUAAAAUACAAUUUUUGAAGGUAGAUUAGUGCCAUCUGGUGGGAGUAAAAAAAGAACUUAUGUAAUGCCAUGAUGUAAACUAUAUUCCUAUAUAGUUCUAUAUAAAGUGGCUUAUAAAUUCUGUAGUGAUUUUUAGACAUAAAUACUUUUUUUUUAUUAAGCUGUGGAUUUAGAUUUAUACUUGGACAUUCUCAAAGACUACUUUUUGUCAAAGUUUAGAUUUUUUUUUUUAGGGAUGCACUGGUACGAUACUGAUAUCGGUAUCGGCCCGAUACCAAGCUCAUGUACUUGUACUUGUACUCAUAAAAAUACCCCCAAUACCAAAGACCAAUACCUCAUGUGACGUAACUGACAGAAUUUUCCGUGCACAGAGACACCGACGGCAGCAGCAGAAACAAUGUCAGCCUCAGGGGUGUGGAAAUACUUCAAAAUUAAUGAUGACAACCCACACAUUGCAAACUGCAUGCUUUGUUCUGCAUUAAUAUCAAGAGUAGGGUACGAAACAAAGGCUGUGAAGAACGUCCUUAGCUUAAUUCUUAUGAACAGUCCUCCAGCAGUUAUAGUGUUGCUUACCCAUUUAACAGUACACUGUUAUAUUUCACUGUACACUUUCGGUUGUGUUUACAUUGGUUCACAGUGUUAUGUUAUAAACAUUUGUAAAUAUCGGUACUCGUACUCUGUCCUUAAAAAAUAGUAUCGGUGCAUCCCUAUUUUUUUGUUUGUUUGUUUGUUUGUUUGAAAUGUAUUUCAAGUGUCAGUUUUUGCAUUAUUUUUACUACAGUCAAACCUGAACACAGAGGAAGACAUGUUGUUCCACACAAAAUCAAAAUUCAAUAAAAAUUAAAAAAAAAAAAAAAAAUGAAUAGGUAGGCCUAUGCUUUAUCACAGCUUAAUAAUUCUGGGACUGAUCUGAUUUCAGCCUCUUAUUUGAGUUUUUGACUCAAUUUUACCAUAUUGUUACAGCCACACCAGUUCAUUUGUGUGUAUAAUAGUGUGUUGUGUGUGUUUGAGUGGGUGUGUCUUUUUUACUGCUUUAUGGCUGAAUUGUUGAUUUUAUUUCACACAUUUGUAAUAAUUUGCUCUGCAGUCACGCUAGUUCAUAUAUACGUGUGUGGGUGGGGGGUGGUUGUGUCUAUUUUGCACUUAUGACAUUUUAGAGCCAAGUGUGACUAUUUUUUUCAUGACCCUUUAACAUAUCCGAAUCAUGUCCAUGAUUUUUUUUGUGUUCACACAAGUUACUUGUAGUAACUUGACAAAUAGAUUGUAUCAAUUACAUUGUUGUGCCACUAGGUUAAAAAUUAAAAUUAAGAUAUAUUUAAUGCAUGAGUUACAGGCAUGCAAACUUGGGGCAAAAAAACACAAGUGAUUUUGCCAUUUUUGAACUGUAACUGUUGGCAUAUAAUGCAACAAAGAUUGCUAAAGUCAACAGAUUUUACUAAUAGACCUUUCCAAUCUCUGUGUAAAAAUAAAAUAUUGAUGCCAUCUUUCUAAAGUCAUUUUUAGCCCCCUGUAAGUUGGUUCCGAAUUUUAUGUGAAAAUUGUCAUUUUGACCCCCUCUACAAAAUAGUGGAUUACUCAGAAAAUAUGCAUCCAUGACUUUUAAUAUUUUGCCAUUCUUUUCCAUUUAUGUAUUUCUUUCACCAGACAAAAAAUUAUCAACAUUUUUAGCCAGGGACCUCUGGUUGUUACAGAAUGACCCAUUAUAGAUUAUAGAAGAUUUUACAUUUAAAUGCAUUUGAAAAGUCAUUGAAAGUUAAACAACAAAAAAAAAAUAAUAAUAAUAAUAAUAAAAUAAAAAAUAACAAACAUCUUUUCAACUAGAGUCCCCCCAGUGAAUCUCAGCCAUUUCCAGCCCUGCCUACAGUGCAGUAAAGCACACAUCCUGUUAUUGCAAAGAAACAAGACAACAUACAUCACAACAGAAAUUAAAGUUGUUCCUUAAUGAAAGUCUAAAUCUGUCUCCAUUAUGACAGUUUAUAACCCUUGUCUUUUACUGAUGUACUUCCACUUCCGAGCCGCUGAGCGAUGUUUGUUGUGUUGGUUCAUCCUGUUGCUCCAAAGUUCUGCUCUUACAGUCGCUACAAAUGACGACAAUCAAGACGGAAAUGCAGAUAACUGACAGUAAAGCUAAAGCUGAAAG